CCUACGGGAGGCUGCAGUGAGGAAUAUUGGUCAAUGGUCGGGAGACUGAACCAGCCAAGCCGCGUGAGGGAUGAAGGUACAGAGUAUCGUAAACCUCUUUUGUCAGGGAACAAAGGCGGGGACGCGUCCCCGGAUGAGUGUACCUGAAGAAAAAGCAUCGGCUAACCCCGGGCCAGCCGCCGCGGUAAUACGGAGGGUGCGAGCGUUAUCCCGAUUUGUUGGGUUUAAAGGGUGCGCAGGCGGUCUGGUUAGGCAGCGGGCAAAACCCCGGGACCAACGCCGGGACGGCCGUUGAAACUGGCAGUCUGGAGUGGGAGAGAGGUAUGCGGAAUGCGCGGUGUAGCAGUGAAAUGCAUAGAUAUCGCGCAGAACUCCGAUGGCGAAGGCAGCAUGCCGGCACCACACUGACGCUGAGGCACGAAAGCGUGGGUAGCGAACAGGAUUAGAUACCCUAGUAGUC
rnacentral:rRNA from 1 species